rnacentral:rRNA from 1 species
CCUACGGGAGGCAGCAGUGGGGAAUAUUGCACAAUGGGCGCAAGCCUGAUGCAGCCAUGCCGCGUGUAUGAAGAAGGCCUUCGGGUUGUAAAGUACUUUCAGCGGGGAGGAAGGGAGUAAAGUUAAUACCUUUGCUCAUUGACGUUACCCGCAGAAGAAGCACCGGCUAACUCCGUGCCAGCAGCCGCGUCA